rnacentral:tRNA from 1 species
GGGAGUAUAGCUCAGUGGUACAGUGCCUGCUUAGCAAACACAAGGUCCUGGGUUCAAUCCCAAGUGCCUCCA